rnacentral:tRNA from 1 species
GUGUCGGUGGCUUAGGUGUCAAGCUCUUGACUUGCAACCUACAGGUCGUGGGUUCGAAUCCCGCCAUGUACC